rnacentral:rRNA from 1 species
UUCCCAUCCCGAACACGGAAGUGAAACGCCUCAGCGCCUACGAUACUGCUCUGGCGACGGAGUGGGAAAAUAGGUCACCGCCGGGA